rnacentral:lncRNA from 1 species
UUAUGUGUUUAAAUUAACGUUUUUAUAGUUGUUUCGCAUAUAGGUGACACCUAUCCCAAGGACGAGCGCAUCCAGGGACGUCACGGGGGUUACGACCCAUCGACUUAUCAGUGAGUGGGCAGUUUUGUUUUCGUAUUACCUAUAUACUACUGUUUUUCCCAGAAAAUGCAAUUAUAUGAAAAUAUGUUUUAAAAUGCCAUGCAUGCAAUCGAUGAGAUAUUUGAAUUGAUAAUUGAUGCAUAUAUAUGUGAAUUGACGCUGUUGACGCAGAUGUGAGUUUUUACAUUAUUCAUACGAUUUAUUUUAUGUGAAUUGCAUUGGAAGCUCAUAACCUGCACCCUAGGUGUUAGUGCUUAUAUUAUUCACCACACCGCA